GGCGCCGGGGGCUCUUCAGGCUCAGGGCAUAGGCAGGCGGCGGCCGCGUUUUCUGGAGACGGUCGCUCUCGGAGGGACCCUGCAAUUGCCCGAGACCGAGAGUGGGCGCUGCCUGAAAGUUUGUCCCUGGGCGCUUCGCUGGCCUCAUCCGGUCUCGGCCUUGUUCUGGGCCUGGCGCCUUUCCCAUUGUUGGGGAAAGUGGUCUAGGAGACCAAGGCAGCGUGCUGGGUGGGAGAGAAUGAUUUGUGGCUUCUGAUUCUGACAUAUGUCGUUAAGGAGGGGAGGGAUGAGUGACCCUGUUUUACUUAUGGAGAACCUGGGGCCAGAGCUGUUUUCCCAGGGUGACACAGGCGGUGAGUAGUGGAGCUGGCAUUCCUGACCCCAAAGCUCAGCGUUUCCCAGCCACUCUCCGCAGCCAGGCCUUCACCUGCACUGCUGGGCGCAGGUGGGGAAGUGGGGAAACGGUGCUCCAUCCCCUGCAGAGGGCAGGCGUGCGGGGAGCGGUGGCUGAACUCCACAGACAGCUACUGCUCAGCUCUUCAGCUGCCGGCUUUGAAGAGUGUGAGGGGCUCUGGGCAAGAGGCCCCCACAUUACUCAAGGACCAGAUCAUCAAGAGCUUUACUUGUCCCACAAAGGAGUCUGGACCUCGUUUAAGUGCACAGGAGACCGCUGGAAGGUCCUCAGUGGCGUGCCAUGGCCCGACUUCUAUUUGAGAAGUUUUUCUCUGGCCACCCGUCUAAGGAAAGGUGUAUACAGAGCUCUAACUGUCCUGUUCCAUCCAAAGGGGGAAAACCAAGAAGCACUUGUGAAGUUAACAUUUCAGAGACAGAGGAUCACUAAAAGGCUGAGACCUAAUCAUAGGACUGUGAUCACUCUUCUGUCCUUUGCCAUCUUACUACGAUAUUACUGUAGGGCCUACUAACUGCAGUUCCUCUUACCCAGUACCUCAUGUCUGAUGUCAAGAAGAAAAUUACAAGUCAUACUAAAAGGCAAAACACAAAGUUUGAAGAAAAAGAGCAAGCAUCAGACCCAGACUCAGAUAUGGCAGGAGUGUUAGACUUAUCAGACCGGGAAUUUAAAACAAUUAUAACUAAUAUACUAAGGGCUCUAAUGAAUAAAGUAGACAGCAUGCAAGAACCUGUGAAGCAGAGAGAUGGAAAUCCUAAGAAAGAAUAAAAAGAAAGGCUAGAGAUGAGAAACACUGUUCUAGUGAUGAGAAAUGCCUUUGAUAGGCCCAUGAGUGUAAUGGACAUGGCUGAAGAAAGAAUCUCUACGCUUGAGGAUAUAUCAAUAGAAACUUCCAGGACAGAAAAGCAAAGAACAAAGAGACUGAAAAAGUGAAACAGACUAUUCAAGAACUGUGCGACAACUAUGAAAAAAAAUAACAUACACAUAAUGGGGAUGCAAGAAAGAGAAGAGAAACAAAGAGAAGAGAAAGAAACAGAAAAAAUAUUUAAAAUAAUAAUAGCUUGAGCAACAUAGGGAGACCCCAUCUCUACAAGAAAAUUAAAAAAUUAGGGGUGCAUGGUGCACACCUCUGGUCCCAUCUACUCGGUGGGGUGAGGUGAAAGGAUCAUGUAAGCCCGGGAGGUCAAAUCUGCAGUGAGCCAUGAUUGCACCACUGCACUCCAGCCUGGGUGACAGAGUGAGACCCUGUCUCAAAAAAUAAAUAGAUGUGGUGGCACACACCUGUAGUCCCAGGUACUUGGGAGGCUGAGGCAGGAGGAUCGCUUGAGUCUGUACAGGAGUUCUGGGCUGCAAUGCACUAUGCCGAUUGGGUGUCUGCACUAAGUUUGGCAUUAGUAUGGUGACCUCUGGGGAAAGGCGGAUAACCAGGUUGCCUAAGGAGGGGAGAACUGGCCCAGGUCAGAAACGGAGCAGGUCAAAAUUUCCUUGCUGACCACACCUGUGAAAGGCCACUGCACUCCAGCCUGACCAACACAGCGAGACCCCACCUUUUAAAUAAAUAAACAAAAAAAGAAUAAUGACAGAGAUUUUCACCAAAUUAAUAUCAGGCACCAAACCAUAGAUCCAGGAAGCUCUGUGAACACCAACCAGAAUAAAUGCCAAAAAACUCCACCCAGGUAUAGCAUAUUCAAAGUAGAAAUCAAAGAUAAAUAAAACACUACUGGAGGCCAAGGCAGGUUGAUCAGAGGUCAAGGUGGGUGUAUCACUUGAGGUCAGGAGUUUGAGCCAGCCUGGCCAACAUGGCAAAACCUCAUCACUACCAAAAACACAAAAAUUAGCUGGACAUAAAUGGUGGGCGCCUGUAAUCCCAGCUACUUGGGAGGCUGAGACAGGAGAUUCGCUUGAACCCAGGAGGUGAAGGUUGCAAGGUUGCAGUGAGCUGACAUUGCACCACUGCACUGCAGCCUGGUGACAAAGUGAGACUCUUUUCCAAACAAACAAAGAAACAAACAAACAAAAACUAUUGAAAGAAGCCAGAGGAAAAAGCCACCUUACCUAUAGGGAGCAAAGAUAAGGAUAACAUCUGUCUUCUCCUCGGAAACCAUGCAAACAAGAAGAGUGUGAAGUGAAAUAUUUAACAUCUUGAGUGAAAAAAAUACACAACCUUGAAUUCUGUACACUGUAAAAUUAUUCCUCAAAACUGAAGAAUAAAUACAGACUUUCUCAGACAAACAAAAAUUGAGGGAAUUUAUUGUUAGUACAUGUGCCUUGUAAGAAAUACUGAAAGAAGUUCUUCCAAGGGAAAGAAAAACAUACAAGUCAGAAACUUGGAUCUAUAUAAAGAAAGAGAGCACUGAAGAAGGAAUGAGUGAAGAUAAAAUAGUAACUUAUUUUUUUAUUCCAAAUUGAUCUAACAGAUAACAGUUUGUUCAAAAUAAUAAUAGCAAGAAUGUAUUCAAUUAUGUAUUCAUAUAUGUGUAUAUAUAUCUACAGAAACAUAUAUACUUAAGUACAUUUAUGUAUAAGUGAAAUGAAUGACAGUAGUGAUAUAAGAGAUAGGAGGCAGGAAUUGGGAUUAUUUUGUUAUUAUA
rnacentral:lncRNA from 1 species